rnacentral:lncRNA from 1 species
GGGCUGUGGCAGGUGGCCAUCUGGACACACACAGAACCAGAGCAGUACAGCCUCCGCCAACCAGCCCAUGUCUGCACCUGGACAAAGCAUUGAGCGAAGCACGAGGAAAACACACGCCCAGCUCUGCUACAGCAUCUGAGGAUCCGCACCGCAUGGACAGAGGCAGCUCCACAGCACCUCCCAGCUACAGACCCCACCAUAGACCUACACACACAGAGACAGUCUCCACAGACAUAAGCAGCUGCUUAUGUCUGCUCACCUCAGGAUGGAGUCAGGAACCUGAAUAUGGCACACAUCAGCAUCUCCAGGAUCCAUAUGAACUGUCUACAAUUGAACUUUGAAGGUAAGGAGGGAACAAGAAGCUAAGAAAGGAUGGCUGGGCCCAACUGAGAAGUACCGGAGACACCACAUCCAGAAGAGAAUGCAAGCACUGUCACUGAGCAUGCUCCUGAGACUGGGAAUGAAAGUUUAGGAGCAAUGAAGACUGUCAGCCUUCCUCCCUUGACCCCCAGACAACCACCGAGAAGCUGUCACAGCAUUAAAAAGAAUACAGAACCUUCAAAAUAAACUUUGUGAUUCAUUAAACCCAU